rnacentral:piRNA from 1 species
GGAAAGAUUUGUCUACAGUUCUGAUUGGC